CCUUGGGGAAAUCCCUGUCGCCAUCUUGGCGGGCGGUCCAAAUGAUUAGCCAAGCAAGGGCAGUUUGCAACGGAAGCCCCUCAGCCCUCGUUUUAUUCGGCUUUGCAGGUGUACAAGUAUGUUCACUCCGGGGCCUGAAACACCCCAUAAUUCAAUUUGCGACGUUUGUACAUCUGCUAAGAAAAGUCCGCGAAAACUUAAAAACAACAUCAAUGGAGAAGUCAACAUACAAGUAUGGCCAGCGAGACAGGAAGAACUUGGCUAGAUUGAAAAAAAUAACCCAUCUUACUGAUAACUUCAUAAGUCUUGCUGUCAAAGUAAGCUUCAAUAUGUCAAACUAUACCCUAUGAUGACUACAGUAGAUAAGAGAGCUGAUAAUCUUCUCAAAUUUCUGCCAUAAGACUCUGCCAUAAUACUGAAUUCACAUGAUAUAUUCCAUAACAUUAUUUGACCAGAGUUUGAAGACAUUAUACAGCCAACUUACUUCCCGAGGCGAUGGAAGGACAGACAUCACAAAGUAUUGAGGUGAAGCCGCUCAACAACUACAUCACAUUAGUCAUCUAAGAGCCUCCCAUCCAGAGCGACACACAGAAGCAACAAGGUUCAACGCCCUGCUCAAGGGCACGUCGAAAGAUCUCCCACAAGGUCAAAAACAGGGACCCGAAC